rnacentral:rRNA from 1 species
UACAGAGGUGGCAAGCGUUGUUCGGAAUUACUGGGCGUAAAGGGCGCGUAGGCGGCCUUCUAAGUCAGACGUGAAAUCCCCCGGCUUAACCUGGGAACUGCGUCUGAUACUGGGAGGCUUGAGUAUGGGAGAGGGAUGUAGAAUUCCAGGUGUAGCGGUGAAAUGCGUAGAUAUCUGGAGGAAUACCGGUGGCGAAGGCGGCAUCCUGGACCAUAACUGACGCUGAGGCGCGAAAGCUAGGGGAGCGAAUGGG